rnacentral:rRNA from 1 species
AUUGAACGCUGGCGGCAUGCCUUACACAUGCAAGUCGAACGGCAGCACGGGUGCUUGCACCUGGUGGCGAGUGGCGAACGGGUGAGUAAUACAUCGGAACAUGUCCUGUAGUGGGGGAUAGCCCGGCGAAAGCCGGAUUAAUACCGCAUACGAUCUACGGAUGAAAGCGGGGGACCUUCGGGCCUCGCGCUGUAGGGUUGGCCGAUGGCUGAUUAGCUAGUUGGUGGGGUAAAGGCCUACCAAGGCGACGAUCAGUAGCUGGUCUGAGAGGACGACCAGCCACACUGGGACUGAGACACGGCCCAGACUCCUACGGGAGGCAGCAGUGGGGAAUUUUGGACAAUGGGCGAAAGCCUGAUCCAGCAAUGCCGCGUGUGUGAAGAAGGCCUUCGGGUUGUAAAGCACUUUUGUCCGGAAAGAAAUCCUUGGCCCUAAUACGGUCGGGGGAUGACGGUACCGGAAGAAUAAGCACCGGCUAACUACGUU